AGCAUAUCAAUAAGCGGAGGAAAAGAAACCAACAGGGAUUGCCCCAGUAACGGCGAGUGAAGCGGCAACAGCUCAAAUUUGAAAUCUGGCCCCUAGGGUCCGAGUUGUAAUUUGUAGAGGAUGCUUUUGGUGAGGUGCCGCCCGAGUUCCCUGGAACGGGACGCCGCAGAGGGUGAGAGCCCCGUCUGGCUGGCCACCGAGCCUAUGUAAAGCUCCUUCGACGAGUCGAGUAGUUUGGGAAUGCUGCUCAAAAUGGGAGGUAUAUGUCUUCUAAAGCUAAAUAUUGGCCAGAGACCGAUAGCGCACAAGUAGAGUGAUCGAAAGAUGAAAAGCACCUUGAAAAGAGGGUUAAACAGUACGUGAAAUUGUUGAAAGGGAAGCGCUUGUGACCAGACUUGGGCGCGGCGGAUCAUCCGGGGUUCUCCCCGGUGCACUUCGCCGCGUUCAGGCCAGCAUCAGUUCGGCGCGGGGGAAAAAGGCUUCGGGAACGUGGCUCCUCCGGGAGUGUUAUAGCCCGUUGCAUAAUACCCUGCGCUGGACUGAGGACCGCGCAUCUGCAAGGAUGCUGGCGUAAU
rnacentral:rRNA from 1 species